CGUGCAAAGACCCAGGAGCUCCAGUCAAUGGUACACGCUUGUUGAAUAGCCAGCAACUCACCAUCCACUUUACGUGCAACACCGGUUUUGCGCUCAACGGUUCUGCUACAAGUCGCUGCACCGUGAUCGGAUGGCAGCCGGAGCGACCUCUCUGUAAACUCGUUGAGUGUCCCGACCUUGGUCCGCCGGCAAACGGCAUUCGUCUGUUCAACAGCACAUUGCUUGGCGGAGUACUGCGCUAUUUCUGCUACAAGGGCUCAGUGCUGGUCGGCGAGCAGAUCCAGACGUGUCUGCAGAGUGGGAACUGGUCAUCCCAUAAGGCUAAAUGUGCACCACCAGCCUGCACCGUCAACCCAUGCAAGAACAAUGGAACGUGUAUAGCAAAACCAGACGGCGUUACGUCGUCGUGUAUUUGCACCGGUCGCUGGGCAGGUCUGAACUGCACUGAUCAAGUGUCGAUCACCGGAUCGGGCAACGGAGAUACGCAUGGCGAAAGUGACGAAACAUCCGGCGCUGUGCAGGCGUUCACAAUCGCUGGUGUCCUGGGUGGUGUUGCGGCGCUUUUCCUGCUGUCAGCUGCGAUACUGUUUGUGUAUCGCAAUGGGUUAAUGCACAAGUGGGGU